GGAUAGGAAAUUAGAAGGCAUCUUUUAAUUUUUAAAAGACCUUUUUCGAAAGGUAUACUUAAAGAGGGGCUUGCGGCACAUUAGUUAGUUGGUAGGGUAAAAGCCUACCAAGACCAUGAUGUGUAGCUGGACUGAGAGGUUGAACAGCCACAUUGGGACUGAGACACGGCCCAAACUCCUACGGGAGGCAGCAGUAGGGAAUUUUCGGCAAUGGAGGAAACUCUGACCGAGCAACGCCGCGUGAACGAUGAAGUAUUUCGGUAUGUAAAGUUCUUUUAUUGAAGAAGAAAAAAUAGUGGAAAAACUAUCUUGACGAUAUUCAAUGAAUAAGCCCCGGCAAACUAUGUGCCAGCAGCCGCGGUAAUACAUAGGGGGCGAGCGUUAUCCGGAAUUAUUGGGCGUAAAGGGUGCGUAGGCGGUUUGGUAAGUCUAUAGUUUAAUUUCAGUGCUUAACACUGUUCUGCUAUAGAAACUAUCAGACUAGAGUGAGAUAGAGGCAAGUGGAAUUCCAUGUGUAGCGGUAAAAUGCGUAAAUAUAUGGAGGAACACCAGAGGCGUAGGCGGCUUGCUGGGUCUUUACUGACGCUGAGGCACGAAAGCGUGGGGAGCAAACAGGAUUAGAUACCCUGGUAGUCCACGCCGUAAACGAUGAGUACUAAGUGUCGGGGAAACUCGGUACUGAAGUUAACACAUUAAGUACUCCGCCUGAGUAGUACGUACGCAAGUAUGAAACUUAAAGGAAUUGACGGGACUCCGCACAAGCGGUGGAUCAUGUUGUUUAAUUCGAAGAUACACGAAAAACCUUACCAGGUCUUGACAUACUCUGCAAAGCUAUAGCAAUAUAGUGGAGGUUAUCAGGGAUACAGGUGGUGCAUGGUUGUCGUCAGCUCGUGUCGUGAGAUGUUAGGUUAAGUCCUAAAACGAGCGCAACCCUUGUCACUAGUUGCCAGCAUGUUAUGAUGGGCACUUUAGUGAGACUGCCAAUGAAAAAUUGGAGGAAGGUGAGGAUCACGUCAAAUCAUCAUGCCCCUUAUGAUCUGGGCUACAAACGUGAUACAAUGGCUGUUACAAAGAGUAGCUAAAACGCGAGUUUAUAGCCAAUCUCAUAAAAGCAGUCUCAGUUCGGAUUGAAGUCUGCAACUCGACUUCAUGAAGUUGGAAUCGCUAGUAAUCGCGAAUCAG
rnacentral:rRNA from 1 species